rnacentral:rRNA from 1 species
GUGAGGAAUAUUGGGCAAUGCCCGCAAGGGUGACCCAGCAACGCCGCGUGGAGGAUGAAUGUCGUAAGAUUGUAAACUCCUGUUAGAGGGGAAGAAUAGUACCGGUUGGACCGGUAUAUGACUGUACCCUCAGAGAAAGCCCCGGCUAACUACGUGCCAGCAGCCGCGGUAAUACGUAGGGGGCAAGCGUUGUCCGGAUUUACUGGGUGUAAAGGGCGCGCAGGCGGGAUAAAAAGUCAGUGGUGAAAUCCUACAGCUUAACUGUAGAACUGCCUUUGAUACUUUUAUUCUUGAGUUCGGGAGAGAGAGACGGAAUUCCAGGUGUAGUGGUGAAAUACGUAGAUAUCUGGAAGAACACCAGUUGCGAAGGCGGUCUCUUGAUCCGACACUGACGCUGAGGCGCGAAAGCGUGGGGAGCAAACA